rnacentral:rRNA from 1 species
GACGAACGCUGGCGGCGUGCUUAACACAUGCAAGUCGAGCGGGAUCCAACCGGUGGCAACACCGGGGAAGAUCUAGCGGCGAACGGGUGAGUAACACGUGAGCAACCUGCCCCGAAGACUGGGAUAACACCGGGAAACCGGUGCUAAUACCGGAUGUCGUCAUUAGGCCGCAUGACCUGAUGAUGAAAGGAUUCAUCGCUUCGGGAGGGGCUCGCGGGCUAUCAGCUUGNGGUGGGGUAACGGCCUACCAAGGCGACGACGGCUAGCUGGUCUGAGAGGACGACCAGCCACACUGGGACUGAGACACGGCCCAGACUCCUACGGGAGGCAGCAGUGGGGAAUCUUGCGCAAUGGGCGAAAGCCUGACGCAGCAACGCCGC